GUCUUGGUUCUGAGAAGAGGGAGGG
rnacentral:piRNA from 1 species